AAGGAAAGGAGGGGAGCAAUCCAUCUCCCCUCUCUUAGUAAUUCUGAUAUAGCUAAAGCUCUGAGCAACAGCCAGGAGCUCUCUGAAGCUCUGUAGCUACCACUGCAAUGACAAAAAAAAAAUUAACCUUCUCCUGAGGGAAUGUUUGAUUCUGGCCAAAGGGGGGAGCAGCUGCUUCAUCAUCCACUGUGACUGCACUUCCUCAUUCCAACAUCGUAAAUUAGUUAAAUUUUUCCUCCCCACUUUACAAGUGGUACCUUAUUUCCUACUUGAUAGAUGCAACUAUCUUUUGGGUUGCUAGGUCAGCAACGAGCAGGGGCUAUUUUUUUUAAUUGAUGGGUGCUCACCCCACCACGGGCUGACCUCGAACUCAUGACCUCAUGGUCAGAGUGUUUUAUUGCAGCAGGCUGCUCACCAGCCUGUGCCACAGCCUGGCCUAUGUCCUUUUCCUCCAACUGGAUUGGGGACCCAUUGCAAAACCAGCUAAAAUUGUGACAAAAUUAGUUUUGGAAUAUAUAUAUAUACAGUAGAGUCUCACUUAUCCAAGCUAAACGGGCCGGCAGAACAUUGGAUAAGCGAAUAUCUUGGAUAAUAAGGAGGGAUUAAGGAAAAGCCUAUUAAACAUCAAAUUAGGUUAUGAUUUUACAAAUUAAGCACCAUUAAACAUCAUGUUAUACAACAAAUUAGACAGAAAAAGUAGUUCAAUACGCAGUAAUGUUAUGUUGUAAUUACUGUAUUUACGAAUUUAGCACCAAAAUAUCAUGAUAUUUUGAAAACAUUGACUACAAAAAUGCCUUGGAUUAUCCAGAAGCUUGGAUAAGCGAGGCUUGGAUAAGUGAGACUCUACUGUAGUUGUAAGUUCAGGAUGAAAUUCAGUUAGUUAAUAUCCCAGAAGACAUAAUCAGAAUUCAAAAUGACCCUUAGCAAACCGGGGAGCUGGACCAAAACUAAUAAUAAAAUUCCAAGAGGAAGAAAUGCAAAGUACUAUAUAUAAGCAGAAAAAAAUGAAACAAAGAAAAAAAAUGCACAAAUCUGUUGCGCAUAAGCAGAUAUCAUCCAGGUCCAAUCCAAAACACACAAACAAGAGGAAAAAGAACAUAAAUCUUUACUCUUGUCAGCAGAGAUACAAAAUCAAAUAGCUCAGCAAACUUACAUAGUUCUUGUAAGCAGCACAGAGUAAGGCUUCUUCAUCCAAAAGAGUCGAACAUAAAACAAAUAGCUAUUCCAUCAUAGCAAAGAGCAUUGCUGUUAAGCCAUUGUUAAUUCAGCAUUUCCAACCGUAUUCUAACAUCCAUACAGUUAUACCCCACCGGGUGUGGUCCAAACUUGCCUGCUGACCUACUCAUAAUAAUUAACAUAAUAAGGUUGUCUUUAACACACACAUAUACUUGAUCCUGUUACUACUUACUGUAACAAAAUCUAGGAUGGGUGACAACUGGCUUGACAACAGUACAUAUGGAAGAGAUCUAAGAGUUUUAGGAAACAUAACGCUGAACAUAAGGUAAUGGAGAAGAUAGACAACCAUUGUGAUUUUAGGUUGACUCAAUGGGAGUAUAGUGUCUACAUCAAGGGAAGUAAUACUAACACUUUAUUCUGCUGUGCUCAAACCUCAGUACAGUAUUAUCACGCAGAAUAUCAAGGCAGAAAAUGCACAAUCUUUGCUUUGAACUGCAUUAUCUGAGUCCACACUGCCAUAUAAUCCAGUUCAAUGUGGAUUUUAUACAGGUGUGGAAGGGGCCUCACCUGCAUUUGAAAAAGGAUAUUGAUACAUUGGAAUGUACCCAGAGGAGGGUGACUAAAAUGAUUAAAAACCCUGAAAACCAUGCUCUAUGAAGAACAGCUUAGGGGCUGGCUAUGUUUAUCUUGGAGAAGUGAAGGUUAAGAGGCAACAUGAUAGCCAAGUUUGAAUGUUUGAAAAAAUGUAAUAUUGAAGAUGGAACAAAUUUUGGGGUUGUUGUAUGUCUUUCGGGCUGUGUGGCCAUGUUCCAGAAGUAUUCUCUCCUGACGUUUCGCCCACAUCUAUGGCAGGCAUCCUCAGAGGUUGUGAGGUAUGGAUAAACUAAGUAAGGAAAGGAAAGAAAAUAUAUCUGUGUAGAGUCCAGAGUGUGGCAAGAGUCCUUUGUCACUGGGAAGCUAGCAUUAAUGGAUGCCCCCAGGCAAGAGACAAAAACCUUUCCAAUGCUAAUUAGGGUGAUUAACUGAAACAUUAAUGCUGGCUUCCCAGUGACAAAGGACUCUUGCCACACCCUGGACUUUUGGCCUUCAAUUCCCAGAAAUCGUAACAGCUGGUAAACUGGCUGGGAUUUCUGGGAGUUGUAGGUCAAAACCCCUGGGGACCCACAGAUUGAAAACCACUGACUAAGAGUUUAUCUAGUAAGAGCUCUUUGAAUAAGCUUCUUUGAAUAAACUUCUUCACAGUAUUGUGAGGUCUCUUUCUUUGGAGAUUUUUAAACAGGGGCUGAUCACAUUGCAUGUUCAGAAAAUAUUAUUCAGUGUAUUGAUAAUAUGAGGCAAAGUACACAUGGGAUGCUUAAUUUCCAACAUGUGAAUGAUUCAUGAGUAAGACACUGGAAUCUGUGAAAUGAUCCACACAAAAAACAGUUAAGCCUUGGAAUCUAAAGUUAUAAGAAGAAUUUCUGAAGGGAUCUCACAGUUGUAUAUACUUCACUGAUGUCUUUUUAAUUCUCUCUCACUCCCCCCUCAACAAAUACACACUGUUAUGAAGAAACCGUUAUCAGUGAGUGGGCUGAAGGAAAAUGGCUCAUUAAAAAUCCAAACGAACACAGCUACAUACUGUUAGACUAAUGAAGCUAAUGUACUGAGAAAUAUUCACAAAGAUAUAAGCAUUCAUGCAGAUGUUGGAGAAUUCCAGGGGUCUUCUCCUGCUGACCCAACAAAGGAAGGCACCGGGAGAGGCAGGGACAGCCUAAGGAGCAACCAGUAUAUUUGUAAACUGUUGGAUUUUUGGUUGUGUGUAUAUGAAAUGUAAAUCAAGUGUUUCUGAUGUUUUCCAAGUGUGUGUUUCAGCAAUGAAACAGUUAACAGCAGGCCAGUUUGCCUGACAGCCUGCUGUGACCUAUGAGACAUGAUUUUCGGCCUUGGAGUCUUCGGACUAAGGAAUGUGCUUUCUUAUUUCUGUUUAGCUGCUUUUUGCCAUGCCGAGAAGCAAAAGAAAAAUGCCAGCUUCGAGUGAUGGCUUUUGCUGCGUUUGUAAAUAUGAUUUGUAAAUACUGAAUAAAUGUUUGGACUUCAGACUGCAGAUGUCUUUGAGUCUGACAUUGGAGAGGAAUUGGUGAGGGCAGAAGGUUCACCAAUUCGUCAGGGUGCUCAUCUGGAGAAGAUGAUCGAUGGUGUUUGAAGAAACCCACCCAACACGCACCCUGAACCCUGGCUCUGCAUUAUGACAUAUACCCCAUAAUACCUUCAGAAUAUUAGAACAGCAUUAGGGAAAAUAUAGUCUUCCAUAUGUUGUUGGAUUACAGAUACGGUGAUCUCUCCCCAUUGGCAAUGCUGGCCAGGGUUCAUAGGAGUUGGAGACCAAAAGCACUUGGUAAGCUACACCUUUCCUACACCAUUGUUAGAUGGAUGAGCAUAGACAUUAUUGGAAGGAUUAGCAGGCCAUCUUAAUGAUCAAGGCAGAGAAAUUGGGUGACCACCACAGAGAAACUCCCCUCCAGUAAAUUUAAUUAAUUUGCAAUCUGUUUCUUAACUUGCCUGGUUUCUAAUUAAAACAUUAUAGAGUGCAAUAUUUUAUCAUUAGAGCCUGUUCCCAUUACCACAACUACAUAUUUUGGAAUGUUGGUCUCUUGCUAUUACAUUUCAUGUAUUUAUUUAUGGAAUUUAUACCCUGCUUUUCUCAUGGGAUGGAACUCAAAGAAGCUACUGAAAGUUUAAAACAAGAUUAAGUUAAAUCCUUAUUUUACAUGUUAAAAAAGAAUUAAGGUAAAGGUAAAGGUUUCCCCUGACAUUAAGUCUAAUCAUGUCCGGCUCUAGGGGUUGCUGAUCAUCUCCAUUUCUAAGCCGAAGAGCCGCCGUUGUCCAUAGACACCUCCAAGAUCAUGUGGCCGGCAUGACUGCAUGGAGCGCCAUUACCUUCCUGCCGGAGCGGUAGUGCUGGAGUCUCCUGUUCACUCUUAACAAACAUGAAUAUUAAUUCAUUUAAGAAGAGAGACUGGAAAACAAGGGGAAGGAGAGAGAAGGAGUUACUAUAUUGCAGUCUGGUUUGGUAUAGAAGGAAGUCCAUGUGGGUAACACCAUGAGUUACUGCAUUGGGUGACACCGGCUAUGGUGACAUCACUGCCCAUGGCAUGAAAGCUGCAAAAUUCCAAAAGGGCUAAUAUGAAGCUUUUGAUGGAAGAACCUCAGGCCAAAAACAGGUGACCAUAUUCAACAUGGAAAAUCAACUGAAUCUUAAUCAAUGCAACAAAACAUGACAGUGUUUAUGACAUCUGAGAGCCAAAAACAAGUGACCAUAUUCAACAUGGAAAAUCAACUGAAUCUUAAUCAAUGCAACAAAACAUGACAGUGUUUAUGACAUCUGAGAGUCAUCAGUUAGACCAGAGCUUUCCAAACUGUGUAUUGCAACAUGUUAGUGGGUCAGCUGCAGUGUGUAGGUAUCAUAAGAACAUAAGAAGCAACCUCUGAGUCUAUGUGAAAUAAGCAAUAGCAAUUUGUAUGCAUUUUUAUACAACAAAGGGGCCGGACUGUGGCGCAGGCUGUUGAGCAGCUGCAAUAAAUCACUCUGACCAUGAGGACAUGAGUUCGAGGCCAGCCCAUGGCGGGGUGAGCACCCGUCAAUAAAAAAUAAAAAAUAACCCCUGCUCGUUGCUGACCUAGCAACCCGAAAGAUUGUUGCAUCUAUCAAGUAGGAAAUAAGGUACCACUUAUAAAAAAAAGUGGGGAGGCAAGGUUAACUAAUUUAUGACCUGGAAUGAGGAAGUGCAGUCAGAGUGGAUGAUGAAGCAGCUGCUCCCCCCGUGGCCAGAAUCGAACAUCCUCUCAGAAGAAGGUUAACUUGCCUCUGCGUCUGUCUCUGUCUCUGUUUGAUGUGUUUAUGGGCAUUGAAUGUUUGCCCUAUGUGUGUAUAAUGUGAUCCGCCCUGAGUCCCCUUCGGGGUGAGAAGGGCGGAAUAUAAAUACUGUAAAUAAAUAAAUAAAUAAAUAAAUAAAUA